UUAAGAUACUAAGAGCAUACGGUGGAUGCCUUGGCGAUAUCUGCCGACGAAGGACGUGACAAGCUGCGAAAAGCUGCGGAGAGAUGCAAAUAAUCGGCGACCCGCAGACAUCCGAAUGGAGAAAUCCGGCUGUGAUGAUGCACAGCCAUCCAUGCCCAAGAGCAUGAGAAGGGAACCGGGCGAACUGAAACAUCUAAGUAACCCGAGGAAAAGAAAUCAAACGAGAUACCCCAAGUAGCGGCGAGCGAACAGGGAAGAAGCCCAAACCGGUGAAGGAAACUUUGCCGGGGUUGAGGACCAUCAGACCCGCGAAGAACCUUAGCCGAAACUGUUGGGAAACAGUGCCGAAGACAGUGAAAGCCUGGUAGGCGAAAAAGAGAAACGCGGAGAUGGCACCAGAGUACCGCGGGACACGAGAAAUCCCGUGGGAAGCAGGGGGGACCACCCUCCAAGGCAAAACACAGAUAUCGACCGAUAGCGCAUAGUACCAUGAGGGAAAGGUGAAAAGCACCCCGGGAGGGGAAUGAAAGAGAACCUGAAACCGUAUGUUUACAAGCAGUCGGAGACCGCUUAAUAAUAAGGUCGACGGCGUGCCUAUUGAAGAAUGAACCGGCGAGUUACGAAGCCUGGCAAGGUUAAGCAGGAAAUGCGGAGCCGAAGCGAAAGCGAGUCUUAAGAGGGCGCAAGUCAGGAAGCGUAGACCCGAAACCACAGUGAUCUACCCAUGUCCAGGUUGAAACACAGGUAAAGAUGUGUGGAGGACCGAACCUAUAUCCGUUGAAAAGGGUUAGGAUGAGGUGUGGGUAGGGGUGAAAUUCCAAUCGAACGUGGAGAUAGCUGGUUCUCCCCGAAAUAGCUUUAGGGCUAGCCUCAGGGAAAAGAUUGCAGGCGGUAGAGCACUGAUCAGGAGAGGGACCUACCCGGUUACCAAACCCAGUCAAACUCCGAAUGGCUGCAAUCAUACCUGGGAGUCAGACUGCGACUAAUAAGGGCCGUAGUCAAAAGGGAAACAGCCCAGACCAUCAGCUAAGGUCCCCAAUGCCGUGCUAAGUGGCGAAGGAUGUGGCAUUUCAUAAACAACCAGGAUGUUGGCUCAGAAGCAGCCACCAUUUAAAGAGUGCGUAAUAGCUCACUGGUCGAGAGACGCUGCGCCGAAAAUGUCCGGGGCUCAAGCACGGAACCGAAGCUAUGGCAUGAUAGCAAUAUCAUGGGUAGGGGAGCGUUCUUAUAAGGAAGAAGCAUGACCGGAAGGACAUGUGGACGAAUAAGAAGUGAGAAUGCCGGUAUGAGUAUCGAAAAGAAAGGUGAGAAUCCUUUCCACCGAAAGCCCGAGGGUUCCUGAGCAACGAUCGUCGACUCAGGGUAAGUCGGGACCUAAGCCGAGGCGGAAAGCGUAGGCGAUGGACAACAGGUUGAAAUUCCUGUACCGGAUCAAGUCGAUCGAGCGAAGGAGCGACGCAGGAGGGCACAUGAUCGCGCGGCUGGAAGAGCGCGUCCAAGUGCGUAUGUUGCAGCAGAGGAAAACCCCUGCAGCUAAAAGCAGAGACAUGAUGGGGAGUUAAAGGAAACUUUGACGAACUCAUGAAUCCCACACUGCCAAGAAAAACUUCUAGCGAGACAAGAUCCGCCCGUACCGUAAACCGACACAGGUAGGCGGGGAGAGAAUCCUAAGGUGCGCGGGAAAACCCUCGUUAAGGAACUCGGCAAAUUGCAUCCGUAACCUAGGGAGAAGGAUGGCCCCCGGUCAGUGAAGAGCAGAAACGCUCAGAGCUAAAAGGGGCGGCAGAAAAGAGGCCCAAGCAACUGUUUACCAAAAACACAGGUGCCUGCGAAAGCGAAAGCUGAAGUAUAGGUGCUGACGCCUGCCCGGUGCCGGAAGGUUAAGGAGAGAAGUUAGCGAAAGCGAAGCAUCGAACUGAAGCCCCGGUGAACGGCGGCCGUAACUAUAACGGUCCUAAGGUAGCGAAAUUCCUUGUCGGGUAAG
rnacentral:rRNA from 1 species